rnacentral:rRNA from 1 species
GAUGAACGCUAGCUACAGGCUUAACACAUGCAAGUCGAGGGGCAGCAUGAACAAAGCUUGCUUUGUUUGAUGGCGACCGGCGCACGGGUGCGUAACAAGUAUCCAAUCUGCCCGCGGCUCGGGGAUAGCCCAUCGAAAGAUGGAUUAAUACCCGAUGGCGUGGUUUCUCCGCAUGGAGUUUCAACUAAAGGUUUUCCGGCCGCGGAUGAGGAUGCGUAUGAUUAGGUAGUAGGCGGGGUAACGGCCCACCUAGCCUUCGAUCAUUAUGGGUUCUGAGAGGAAGGUCCCCCACACUGGAACUGAGACACGGUCCAGACUCCUACGGGAGGCAGCAGUGAGGAAUAUUGGUCAAUGGGCGAGAGCCUGAACCAGCCAAGUAGCGUGAAGGAAGACUGCCCUAUGGGUUGUAAACUUCUUUUGUUCGGGAAUAAAGUGCAGUACGCGUACUGUUUUGUAUGUACCGUUCGAAUAAGCAUCGGCUAAUUCCGUGCCAGCAGCCGCAGUAAAAC